rnacentral:rRNA from 1 species
AAUGAACGCUGGCGGCAGGCCUAACACAUGCAAGUCGAACGGAUCCUUCGGGAUUAGUGGCGGACGGGUGAGUAACGCGUGGGAACAUACCCAAAGGUACGGAAUAGCCUCGGGAAACUGGGAGUAAUACCGUAUGUGCUCGAAAGAGGAAAGAUUUAUCGCCUUUGGAUUGGCCCGCGUUGGAUUGGGUAGUUGGUGGGGUAAUGGCCUACCAAGCCGACGAUCCAUAGCUGGUUUGAGAGGAUGAUCAGCCACACUGGGACUGAGACACGGCCCAGACUCCUACGGGAGGCAGCAGUGGGGAAUCUUAGACAAUGGGGGAAAUCCUGAUCUAGCCAUGCCGCGUGAUCGAUGAAGGCCUUAGGGUUGUAAAGAUCUUUCAGGUGGGAAGAUAAUGACUGUACCACCAGAAGAAGCCCCGGCUAACUCCGUGCCAGCAGCCGCCGUAA